rnacentral:lncRNA from 1 species
CGAGUCUUAUUAAAUAUACUAAUUAAAAUCUAUAAUCUAUCUUUCAAUAGUAAAAUAGAUUUUAAUUAGUUCAACAAGCACAGUGAUUAUUUCUAAAAUCCCACAGGUCAAAUCUUCUGCUCCCGCUCCAAUUAUUAUUCCUAUGAUGUUUGUUAUUAACUCCAAUUUAUAAUCUUCCUUCCCAGUACCAAUUAUAAAUUGAAAUCAAUCAAGUACCAAAUAUAAUAAUACUUAAAAGCAUUAAGUGCAAAUAACAAACAAUUGCAUUAACAAAGAAAAUUAAUACAAGAUUCUGGAAUUGAAAUUAAAUU